rnacentral:lncRNA from 1 species
UCUUAUUAAUUUUCCUAUUAAUUUUGGAACUUAUCUAAAAAAUUGAAACCCAUCCAUUUUAAAAGAACACAUUGUGUUUUUUUUUAAUAUUUUAAGAACUUAUCUCCAUAAUAUCACCACACAGAAAAAAAAAAGUACUUAUGCCAAAUUUUAAUUUGAAAAAUGUUGACGCUACGCAAAACACAUUUCUUUACAUGACCUUACUUAUUACAUCAUUUUUAGCAGAAUAGAAUCUACUACAUCACUACAAAGAUGUAUAUCUGAAAAAUAUAUAUAUAUUAUUGAAAUGUUG